rnacentral:lncRNA from 1 species
ACGAACACACGAACAAGAAGAGGCGGAGAAGGAGGAGAACAAGCGAGAAGGAGGGAGAAGAGGGAGGAGGAGAAAAAUACCUCAGGUGGAAGAGAUCGGGGUUGGUCGGUCGGCGCCGGAGAGAAGGGAGGAGGAGAGGAGGUUGGAAUCCGAUGGUCGGUACCGGAGAGGAGGAAGACGGUUGACUAGGGCAGUGCUGGAGAGGAGGAAGACGGAAGCCGGAGAGGAGAAAUAGGGGAAGUAGCCAGCGCAGAAUGAGGGUUCGAUCGGGGUCGGGCGCUGAGUUUUGAGGGAUUCUACCCUUAGACGAUGCUUAUAAGCGUCGUCCUGGAUCGACGCUUCUACGCGUCGGGUAUCUUCGACGCUUAUAAGCGUCGUGUUAUCCAAGGGCCAAAAAUGACGCUUAAAAGCGUCGUUCUAGGUCCAGUUCCCACGCCUUCCAGCGACGAUUUCGCUAGAGGGCUGUGCCGACGCUUUUAAGCGUCGUCUAUUCCUUUAAAUUGCCGACGCUCUUAAUAAGCGUCGGCAAAAGUUGACCCGGUAGAAAAUUUUGCCGACGCUUUCUCCUAGC